UUACUUAAAUUGCUGGUUUUAUUAUAAAAUCCACUCUAGAUCUUCAGGCUUUUGUAUCUGGUAGCCUGAAAUCCAUAAACACUGCACCUUUUGCCUGAUCAUUUGAUGAAUAUGAAUUUACUGCUCCACAAACGCGAAUAUAAUCCAUUUUCUGAUACUGAUCUCUGGCAUUUCUCAUUCCUUUCCUCAAUGGAAAGCUGAUUAGCCACACUGCUGCAAGUCCUGACACCUGUGUACUUUUAAUUCUUCAAAACACCAGAAGCAGCCUACUUUCCCUACUCUUUGACUCCCCAAAUCUCAUGUCGUUCCUCUAGCCCCCUUUGACACCAAACAUGAGACGGUGAAUUAGAAACCUCACUUCAGAGCUCAGAAUGACCCAAUACUUUUGAUCACCCGGCCUUCACCAGCCUGUACAGAGGCUGCAAGGUAGUUUGAACUCUGCUUACUCCUGUCUAUUCCCUUCCACAGUACUUCCUCUUUUCCAAAAUUCCUCUGAGCUUUCCCUGGGAUCUCUCUUCCUCCCUGUAGUUUUUCAAACUAUCUCAUCUUUUGGAGCAUUGGCAACACUGAAGCCUCAAGGCCCUUUUUCAGGAGAGAGGCAGCCAUCGCGAGAGGCCUAGAAGGGGUAGCUGAAGAGACACCCCUUGCCUCUGCAUGUUGGAGAAAGGCGAAAAUGCCAUAAAAUGAGGAAGCCUGGUGAAAGCAGAGCCAUUUCAUAGAAUCAACCAGGUUGGAAAAGACCUUUAAGAUCAUCAAGUCCAACCUUUACCCUAGGUCUGCCAAGUCCACCAUAAACCAUGUCACUAAGGGCCUCAUCUACAUGUUUUCUGAACACUUCCAAGGACGGCGAUUCCACCACUGCCCUGGGCAGCCAGUUCCAAUGCCUGACUAUGCUUUUGGUGAAGAAAUUUUUCUUAAUAUCCAAUCUAAACCUCCCAUGGCACAGCUUGAGGCCAUUUCCUCUUGUGCUAUCACCUGUAACUUGGGAGAUCAGCCACCUCCUCUCUCCAUCCUCCUUUCAGGCAGUUGUAGAGAGUGAUGAUUCCCCCUGAGCCUUCUCUUCUCCAGACUAAACAACCCCCAGUUCCCUCAGCCAUUCCUCAUCAGAUUUGUGCUCUAAGUCCCUCACCAGCUUCGUUGCCCUUCUCUCAGCAACCUAAUACAGCUCUUGUAGUGACCGGUCCAGAAGUGAACCCAGCAUUCGAGGUGCGGCCACACCAGUGACGAGUUCAGAGGGACGAUCACUACCCUGGCCCUGCUGGCCCCCACACCGGGCUCUUUAAGCGUUUUCUUAACCGGGCCCGAGUGUCCUCCUCCGCCCUCCUGCGGUGCUGCCGCUCCGCCCCCCGCGGCCGGCCCCGACCCCCAGCCGCGCAGUCCUUCCCCACUUGCCCUCAGGAGACCCGCGGGCACAC
rnacentral:lncRNA from 1 species